GACGAACGCUGGCGGCGUGCCUAAUACAUGCAAGUAGAACGCUGAAGGAGGAGCUUGCUUCUCUGGAUGAGUUGCGAACGGGUGAGUAACGCGUAGGUAACCUGCCUGGUAGCGGGGGAUAACUAUUGGAAACGAUAGCUAAUACCGCAUAAUAGUAGAUGUUGCAUGACAUUUGCUUAAAAGGUGCAAUUGCAUCACUACCAGAUGGACCUGCGUUGUAUUAGCUAGUUGGUGAGGUAACGGCUCACCAAGGCGACGAUACAUAGCCGACCUGAGAGGGUGAUCGGCCACACUGGGACUGAGACACGGCCCAGACUCCUACGGGAGGCAGCAGUAGGGAAUCUUCGGCAAUGGACGGAAGUCUGACCGAGCAACGCCGCGUGAGUGAAGAAGGGUUUCGGAUCGUAAAGCUCUGUUGUAAGAGAAGAACGAGUGUGAGAGUGGAAAGUUCACACUGUGACGGUAUCUUACCAGAAAGGGACGGCUAACUACGUG
rnacentral:rRNA from 1 species